rnacentral:rRNA from 1 species
UACGUAGGCAGCAAGCGUUGUUCGGAUUCAUUGGGCGUAAAGGGUGUGUAGGUGGCGCCGUAAGUCGGGUGUGAAAUUUCGGAGCUUAACUCCGAAACUGCAUUCGAUACUGCGGUGCUUGAGGAUUGGAGAGGAGACUGGAAUUCAUGGUGUAGCAGUGAAAUGCGUAGAGAUCAUGAGGAAGACCAGUGGCGAAGGCGGGUCUCUGGACAGUUCCUGACACUGAGACACGAAGGCCAGGGGAGCAAACGGG